UUUCCGUAGGUGAACCUGCGGAAGGAUCAUUAACACUAAUCCAACUCAACUCAACGAAGCCUUCAGUUGCAGCAGUGCGUGCUAGCGCAAGCAGUGCCGCCGCUGCAGCACCAAAACAAACUAAUUCAUGCAAAGGAGCCUAACUAAGCUCAACCACAUCAACCAAAUUCUCAACGAUGGAUAUCUUGGUUCCC
rnacentral:misc_RNA from 1 species